rnacentral:rRNA from 1 species
UACGUAGGGUGCAGGCGUUAAUCGGAAUUACUGGGCGUAAAGCGUGCGCAGGCGGUUUGCUAAGAACAGGUGUGAAAUCCCCGGGCUUAACCUGGGAACUGCGCUUGUUACUGGCAGGCUUGAGUGUGGCAGGAGGGGGGUGGAAUUCCGACGUGUAGCAGUGAAAUGCGUAGAGAUGUGGAGGAACACCGAUGGCGAAGGCAGCCCCCUGGGCUAACACUGACGCUGGAGGUGCGAAAGCGUGGGGAGCAAACAGG